GAGAUAGCAGCCGCCGCGGUAAUACGUAGGUCCCGAGCGUUGUCCGGAUUUAUUGGGCGUAAAGGGAGCGCAGGCGGUUUAGUAAGUCUGAAGUUAAAGGCAUUGGCUCAACCAAUGUAUGCUUUGGAAACUGUUAGACUUGAGUGCAGAAGGGGAGAGUGGAAUUCCAUGUGUAGCGGUGAAAUGCGUAGAUAUAUGGAGGAACACCAGUGGCGAAGGCGACUCUCUGGUCUGUAACUGACGCUGAGGAGCGAAAGCGUGGGGAGCGAACAGGAUUAGAUACCCCAGUAGUCCCUGUCUCUUAUACA
rnacentral:rRNA from 1 species